UUAAUGGAGAGUUUGAUCCUGGCUCAGGACGAACGCUGGCGGCGUGCCUAAUACAUGCAAGUCGAGCGGGGUUGUUUAGAAGCUUGCUUCUAAACAACCUAGCGGCGGACGGGUGAGUAACACGUAGGCAACCUGCCCACAAGACAGGGAUAACUACCGGAAACGGUAGCUAAUACCCGAUACAUCCUUUUCCUGCAUGGGAGAAGGAGGAAAGGCGGAGCAAUCUGUCACUUGUGGAUGGGCCUGCGGCGCAUUAGCUAGUUGGUGGGGUAA
rnacentral:rRNA from 1 species